CACUAGGUGACUGAAAGUAAGUAAUGGUCUCUUAAACCAAUCAAUAGUAGUCUAACACCUACUCCUAAUG
rnacentral:tRNA from 1 species